GUCACGACGGAAAGCUGCGUUUCGGCUGAGCGACUGGCCUUAAUUUCUCUCUGUGAUGUAUUUAAAAAAGAGACUAGAUUAAAACAAAAAAAGGCUCAAAACAUGCCACUGUAUAUGUAAUGGUUCUACAAUAUAUGAAGGUGUCACGUAAUGAAUGAAACUACGGAAAAAAUGUCACGAUACUCUACAUGCACCUGUGAGAUGCACGUGCAGUCAGUCGCCGGCCGAAAUUGACGUUUUAAACGUUAUUUCUAUUUAAAUGUUUUUCUUUUUUAAAGAUACAUCUGUAUUAUGAAUCUGACUGACUGGCUAGCUAACCUUUCUCAAUUUUAAGGUUUCCCAAAGAGAAGCAGUUGAGGAGACAGUGGGAAGUGGCUGUGAAAAGGGAAGACUUUUCUGCCAAUGAGAGGUCAAUGCUCUGUAGCCAGCACUUUCGGCCGGAGGAUUUUGACCGGACAGGCCAAAUUGUCAGGCUCAGGGAUGGAACUAAACCAUCUGUGUUCAGUUUCCCAACACAUCUCAAAAGAAAAGUGCCAGCCAGGACUACACAAGCCUCAAGGAAGGCUGAAGCGAGCCUUGUAAUUGAC
ensembl:lncRNA